rnacentral:rRNA from 1 species
AAAUCGUAACAAGGUCUCCGUUGGUGAACCAGCGGAGGGAUCAUUGCUGGAACGCGCCCCAGGCGCACCCAGAAACCCUUUGUGAACUUAUACCUUACUGUUGCCUCGGCGCAUGCCGGCCCCCCUGGGGGCCCCUCCUUCGGGAGGAGCAGGCACGCCGGCGGCCAACCUAACUCUUGUUUUUACACUGAAACUCUGAGAAUAAAACAUAAAUGAAUCAAAACUUUCAACAACGGAUCUCUUGGUUCUGGCAUCGAUGAAGAACGCAGCGAAAUGCGAUAAGUAAUGUGAAUUGCAGAAUUCAGUGAAUCAUCGAAUCUUUGAACGCACAUUGCGCCCUCUGGUAUUCCGGAGGGCAUGCCUGUUCGAGCGUCAUUUCAACCCUCAAGCCUGGCUUGGUGAUGGGGCACUGCUUUUACCCAAAAGCAGGCCCUGAAAUUCAGUGGCGAGCUCGCCAGGACCCCGAGCGCAGUAGUUAAACCCUCGCUCUGGAAGGCCCUGGCGGUGCCCUGCCGUUAAACCCCCAACUUCUGAAAAUUGACCUCGGAUCAGGAGA